rnacentral:rRNA from 1 species
UACGUAGGGACCGAGCGUUGUCCGGAAUCAUUGGGCGUAAAGAGCGUGUAGGCGGCCACUUAAGUCCUGCGUGAAAUCUUGCGGCUCAACCGCAAGCGGUCGUGGGAAACUGGGUGGCUAGAGUGCGGGAGAGGAGAGUGGAAUUCCUGGUGUAGCGGUGGAAUGCGCAGAUAUCAGGAAGAACACCCGUGGCGAAGGCGGCUCUCUGGAACGCAACUGACGCUGAGACGCGAAAGUGUGGGGAGCAAACAGG